rnacentral:rRNA from 1 species
AUGAACGCUAGCGACAGGCUUAACACAUGCAAGUCGAGGGGCAGCGGGGGUAGCAAUACCCGCCGGCGACCGGCGCACGGGUGAGUAACGCGUAUGCAACUUACCUAUCAGAGGGGGAUAACCCGGCGAAAGUCGGACUAAUACCGCAUGAAGCAGGGAUCCCGCAUGGGAAUAUUUGCUAAAGAUUCAUCGCUGAUAGAUAGGCAUGCGUUCCAUUAGGCAGUUGGCGGGGUAACGGCCCACCAAACCGACGAUGGAUAGGGGUUCUGAGAGGAAGGUCCCCCACAUUGGUACUGAGACACGGACCAAACUCCUACGGGAGGCAGCAGUGAGGAAUAUUGGUCAAUGGCCGAGAGGCUGAACCAGCCAAGUCGCGUGAGGGAUGAAGGUUCUAUGGAUCGUAAACCUCUUUUAUAAGGGAAUAAAGUGCGGGACGUGUCCCGUUUUGUAUGUACCUUCUGAAUAAGGAUCGGCUAACUCCGUGCCAGCAGCCGCGGUAAUACGGAGGAUCCGAGCGUUAUCCGGAUUUAUUGGGUUUAAAGGGUGCGUAGGCGGCCUUUUAAGUCAGCGGUGAAAGUCUGUGGCUCAACCAUAGAAUUGCCGUUGAAACUGGGGGGCUUGAGUAUGUUUGAGGCAGGCGGAAUGCGUGGUGUAGCGGUGAAAUGCAUAGAUAUCACGCAGAACCCCGAUUGCGAAGGCAGCCUGCCAAGCCAUGACUGACGCUGAUGCACGAAAGCGUGGGGAUCAAACAGGAUUAGAUACCCUGGUAGUCCACGCAGUAAACGAUGAUCACUAGCUGUUUGCGAUACACUGUAAGCGGCACAGCGAAAGCGUUAAGUGAUCCACCUGGGGAGUACGCCGGCAACGGUGAAACUCAAAGGAAUUGACGGGGGCCCGCACAAGCGGAGGAACAUGUGGUUUAAUUCGAUGAUACGCGAGGAACCUUACCCGGGUUUGAACGCAUUCGGACCGAGGUGGAAACACCUUUUCUAGCAAUAGCCGUUUGCGAGGUGCUGCAUGGUUGUCGUCAGCUCGUGCCGUGAGGUGUCGGCUUAAGUGCCAUAACGAGCGCAACCCUUGCCACUAGUUACUAACAGGUAAAGCUGAGGACUCUGGUGGGACUGCCAGCGUAAGCUGCGAGGAAGGCGGGGAUGACGUCAAAUCAGCACGGCCCUUACAUCCGGGGCGACACACGUGUUACAAUGGCGUGGACAAAGGGAAGCCACCUGGCGACAGGGAGCGAAUCCCCAAACCACGUCUCAGUUCGGAUCGGAGUCUGCAACCCGACUCCGUGAAGCUGGAUUCGCUAGUAAUCGCGCAUCAGCCAUGGCGCGGUGAAUACGUUCCCGGGCCUUGUACACACCGCCCGUCAAGCCAUGGGAGCCGGGGGUACCUGAAGUCCGUAACCGCGAGGAUCGGCCUAGGGUAAAACUGGUGACUGGGGCU